rnacentral:rRNA from 1 species
UAGGGAAUAUUGGACAAUGGGGGGAACCCUGAUCCAGCCAUGCCGCGUGGAGGAAGACUGCCCUCUGGGUUGUAAACUCCUUUUAUAUGGGAAGAACCGUCCUCAUUGAUGAGUGACCUGACGGUACCAUAGGAAUAAGCACCGGCUAACUCCGUGCCAGCGGCCGCGGUAAUACGGAGGGUGCAAGCGUUAUCCGGAUUCACUGGGUUUAAAGGGUGCGUAGGCGGAUAUGUAAGUCAGUGGUGAAAUCAACGGGCUCAACCUGUUAACUGCCAUUGAUACUGUGUAUCUUGAAUAUGAGAGAGGUAGGCGGAAUGUUGCAUGUAGCGGUGAAAUGCUUAGAUAUGCUACGGAACACCGAUUGCGAAGGCAGCUUACUAUUUCGUAAUUGACGCUGAGGCACGAAAGCGUGGGUAGCGAACA